rnacentral:other from 1 species
UGUUCCCUGGUGUGCUCGCCAGCAAGGCGAUGUCCCUGAGCCGAUGCUUUAAACCCUGGGGGCGAAUACGGUGGUGCUGUGUGCAUGUCCGUUGCGACGGAAAGCCUGAAGCAUCGCAUGACGCCUCCGCCUUGAACCGCAGGGUUCAAGGGCCAAGCCACAGCAGCGGCACAAUCGGGGAGCAC